CGCGACUGGGUGGGGCGGAGCCAGGUGGACCGAACAAAGAACGAACGAAGGCGGGGAGUCAGGAGAACCGCUGCAUUAGUGGGGCUGGUAGCUUGUCAGCCGGGAAGCCGUAGCUAUGGUGUCUAGGUUUGGCUUAGCUGUCUGUCUAGAUUAGAAGAUUAUUAUUGCAGUUGUUACAAGCAGUAAUUGCUGGCAAGAUGGCUGCGAGGAUAUCUUCGACGCUCGUUAUUUAUUUAAAUAUAAAACCACCACAACCAAGGCGCAUGUCCCAGGAAAAGUGUUGUCAGUGAUGCAGUAGUCAGAGCUAAAGAUAAGGAGAAACAGUGGUCUGCAAAAGCCUAAUGAAUGCCAGGAAGCCACUCAGGACAAAGAAGGGAGUUGCUGGGAACUGGAAAGCGAGAGCCCACUAGCGGCAGUGGGUGCUUCUAGACGAGGUACUUCGUCUGGGAUUGUCACACUUCGUUCACUCAGUUUUUACGGAUGAUCACCUGAAGCUCUGCUCCAUCUGUUGUCCACCCGUAUUAUUCUGAAGCUUAAAUCAUCACAUUUAUUAAUGAAGGAAAUCCAGCUUUUGAAAAACACACAGGUAGAAGAGCAAGGCAAUAACCACAGGUGCAGGCAGCCCUCCAACUUUUAUAGAUGGUCAGACAAACCACAAGGAGAGCCCACAGCAUGACCAGCAGCAGUGCCCAGUGUGACUCUAGUUGUUUCUUUAAGGAGUUGCCAACUUACUUGUUCUAGCUGGCCUCAGGAUUGGACCCCUCUGCUACCUGGCCUCAUGGUCUACAACUGCACUGCUCUCUGACCAUGAAGUACCUCUCUGGUGGAAGAGAGGCAGCCUACCUUCUUGGGGCUCACCAGCAACCAGAUAAGUGUUGUAAUGGUAAAUUGGGGUGUGUGUGUGUGCGCGCGCCCGCGCAUGCCAAUAAGGGCUGUUAGGCAGUAAGGCAAAUUAGCAUGGGAUGUGCAUGGCUAAAUGGGAAAGCUGGCAUAAAAGGCAAGUCUAGUGAUGUGAGACCCAGGUGAUUCGCUAAUGCAGUGUUCUGAUUGGCUGAGACACUGCAAUCUUUGUGCCUGUGUGUGGGGAACUCUCUCUCAUCUCCUGGGGAUCACAGCCAGAGCUCAAAUCUAUUAUCCUUUCCCCAGGAGACCUGUGCUGCAACUUUGCGGGUGGGGGGCUGUACAGAGAUAAAAUUAAUGCUCUGUAACGUGUCUUUUUCUGUCUCCUGCUUGGUUAGAGAUCUGUUCUGCAGUAUCUGUAUAGUGGGGUUUGAGAGCUACGUGUUCUCCCUCUUUUGCUUCUGUCAUGGUUAUUGCUGGCCAGUCAUGCAAAAGGAAGUUAUAUAAACAAACGCAGAUGUGCCCAAAUGAUGGAUGGGUGACAGGAAUCUUGCAUCCAAGUCUAUAGGCUACUGUCAGAGUUAGCAACUUGUGCACGUACAUAUCAGCGAUUAAAAAACCAUUGCCCUAUUUGCUGUCAAGAAUCUCAGAAACGGCUUCAGAACCACAUCCAGAAGAGCAGUCGCUGAUCAUGCUGCAGAGCAGAGGAAGAUGACAAUAGUGUAUUCCCUGCCCUCGCCCACCUCAUGAGAAAUUGGCAAGGAAAACAAAGAUCCUAUUAUAACUUCACCUUUGAAAUAACCCCUGUUGUCCAGUAACACGCCCCCCCCCCACGCCCUUUCCCCCUGCAGCUAUUAAAAUGAACUGUCAAUCGCGU